UACGUAGGGGGCAAGCGUUGUCCGGAUUUAUUGGGCGUAAAGCGCGUGUAGGCGGCCAGAUAGGUCUGCUGUGAAAACUCGAGGCUCAACCUCGAGCUGUCGGCGGAAACCAUCCGGCUAGAGUCCGGAAGAGGAGAGUGGAAUUCCCGGUGUAGCGGUGAAAUGCGCAGAUAUCAGGAAGAACACCCGUGGCGAAAGCGGCUCUCUGGAACGGUACUGACGCUGAGACGCGAAAGCGUGGGGAGCGAACAGG
rnacentral:rRNA from 1 species